CCAAUAGCGUAAAUUAAAGUUGUUGCAGUUAAAAAGCUCGUAGUUGAAUUUCGGGAUCAAUAUGUUGGUCGUGCCUUGGUACGUACUGGCAUUAUCGAUUCCUACCUUCUGAAGAACCUCGAUGUCAUUAAUUUGGUGUCUUGGGAAAUCAGGACUGUUACUUUGAAAAAAUUAGAGUGUUUAAAGCAGGCUCGCGCUUGAAUACAUUAGCAUGGAAUAAUGAAAUAGGACGUUUGAUUCUAUUUUGUUGGUUUCUAGGAUCGACGUAAUGAUUAAUAGGGAUAGUUGGGGGCAUUAGUAUUCAAUUGUCAGAGGUGAAAUUCUUGGAUUUAUUGAAGACUAACUACUGCGAAAGCAUUUGCCAAGGAUGUUUUCAUUAAUCAAGAACGAAAGUUAGGGGAUCGAAGACGAUCAGAUACCGUCGUAGUCUUAACCAUAAACUAUGCCGACUAGGGAUCGGAUGAUGUUAAUUUUUUAAUGACUCAUUCGGCGCCUUAC
rnacentral:rRNA from 1 species